rnacentral:rRNA from 1 species
GUGUCAGCAGCCGCGGUAAUACAGAGGUUGCGAGCGUUGUUCGGAAUUAUUGGGCGUAAAGCGCGUGUAGGCGGGACGGCAUGUCGAAUGUGAAAGCCCUCGGCUCAACCGAGGAAGUGCGUUCGAAACUACCGUUCUUGAGUGCCGGAGAGGGUGGCGGAAUUCCCGGUGUAGAGGUGAAAUUCGUAGAUAUCGGGAGGAACACCAGUGGCGAAGGCGGCCACCUGGACGGACACUGACGCUGAGACGCGAAAGCGUGGGGAGCAAACAGGAUUAGAAACCCUGGUAGUCC